GAGGCAUCGCGAGUGAACU
rnacentral:rRNA from 1 species